rnacentral:rRNA from 1 species
UACGGGGGGAGCAAGCGUUGUUCGGAUUUACUGGGCGUAAAGGGCGCGUAGGCGGUCGUGACAAGUCAGUUGUGAAAUCUCCGGGCUUAACUCGGAAAGGUCAACUGAUACUGUGCGACUAGAGUGCGGAAGGGGCAACUGGAAUUCUUGGUGUAGCGGUGAAAUGCGUAGAUAUCAAGAGGAACACCUGCGGCGAAGGCGGGUUGCUGGGCCGACACUGACGCUGAGGCGCGAAAGCCAGGGGAGCGAACGGG